GGACCUACGGGGGGCAGCAGUGAGGAAUAUUGGUCAAUGGGCGGGAGCCUGAACCAGCCAAGUCGCGUGAGGGAAGACGGUCCUACGGAUUGUAAACCUCUUUUGCCGGGGAGCAACGGGGUCCUUGCGAGGGCCCGAUGAGAGUACCCGGAGAAAAAGCAUCGGCUAACUCCGUGCCAGCAGCCGCGGUAAUACGUAGGGAGCAAGCGUUGUCCGGAUUUACUGGGUGUAAAGGGUGCGUAGGCGGCUUUGCAAGUCAGAGGUGAAAUCCAUGGGCUUAACCCAUGAACUGCUUUUGAAACUGC
rnacentral:rRNA from 1 species